UGGGAACACCUCGGGAUUCCCCCGGAGGAGCUGAAUUAUUCAUAGUGGACUCACGGGAUUAUAUUGCAUUGUGUAACCCGCAAUUAGUAAAGGACUUUUAUUUUUGCGGGCCCACUUCCUGUGUUGCCCGAACUCUGCUAACUUAUUUAAAGCCACGCCUCCAGUGCGCAGUAAAAGAUCCUCACCUGUUCCACUGAUUGUGGCUUGCUGUUGGCGUCUUCCUCAGGAAUUCCUCCAAAAAUCUUUGAACCUAUUGAUUUGAUUGCUGGAUGAGUUUGUUAUUUGUUAACAGUAUUACUUUUUCAUGUGGUACUUCUGCUCGAUUGCUCAUUGGAGGGUUGUUUUAUUAGAAUCACUGGCAUUGUUUACCUGGACCGCCACCAGGAUUCUGUUAGUGCUGAUUGUGGCUCAGUACGCCCCACUCUCUUCUAAAAGGUCGGUUUUUUUUUUUUUCACCUGUCGGAUCAGAUCCUCAUCUGGAUCGAAAGAUGGCGAGCUAGGAAUGGACUAUGGACUUUAUGAUUUGGAAAUCAAUUUAUUCUGACUCAAUUCUCAUGUGUCUCAUUGUGUUGUUGUAAUUGUAUGUUUUUUUAUUCAAAUCACUUAAUAUAUAUUCACCAAAACUAAAA